rnacentral:lncRNA from 10 species
AGAGACUGGGUUUCACUAUAUUGCCGAGACUGGUCUCAAACUCCUGGAGUCAAGUGAUCCUCCCUGCUUGGCCUCCCAAGGUGCUGGAAUUACAGGUUCUUGUCUGUCGCCCAGGCUAGAGUGCAGUGGCACCAUCAGAGGCUCACUGCAGCCUUGACAUCCUGGGCUCAGGUGAUCCUCUCACCUCAGCCUACCGAGCAGCCGGGACUACAGAUGCAUGCUACCACGCCCAGCUAAUAUUUGUAGAGACAGGGUUUUGCCAUGUUGCUCAGCGUGGUCUUGAACUCCUGGACUCAAGUGAUCUGCCCACCUCAGCCUCUCAAAGUGCUGAGAUUACAGGCAUGAGCCACCUUGCUUACCCUUGUUAACUGGUUAUUCCUAUUCACUUAAUAUCUUCUGCCUAUUUUUUGACUGAGUGCUUGAUCUUUUAUGACUUCUAUUUAUUAAAGAAACUAGUUCUUUGUGUUUUUUUUCCCUCUAGUUUGUCAUUUGGGUUUUGAUUUUGUUUAUGCCUUGCACUUGUAGAAAGUCAUUUUGGUGUAUUUGAAUUAUUAAAUGUUUUUCUUUAUGCCUUCUGGGUAUGACGUUAAACUCUGAAAAGUCUUCUCCAAAACUUAAAGUUUCUUCCACGGUUUCUUUAGGUAUUUUUAUAGUUUGGGUUUUUCUUUAAAAAAAAAACAACAGAUUUUGAUUUUGGCUCCAUCUGUAGAUUUUCCUGUUAAAAGAUAUA